rnacentral:rRNA from 1 species
UAAAACGUAGGGGGCAAGCGUUGCCCGGAUUUACUGGGCGUAAAGCGGGUGUAGGCGGUCCUCUAAGUCAGAUGUGAAAUCCUACGGCUCAACCGUGGAACUGCAUCUGAUACUGGAGGACUUGAGGACGGUAGAGGUCGGUGGAAUCCCCGGUGUACCGGUGAAAUGGGCAGAUAUCGGGGGGAACACCAGUGGCGAAGGCGGCCGACUGGGCCGAUCCUGACGCUGAGACCCGAAAGCUAGGGUAGCGAACCGGAUUAGAUACCCGGGUAGUCCUAGCCGUAAACGGUGCGAACUAGGUGUGGGGACCUUUUUGGUUUCCGUGCCGAAGCUAACGCAUUAAGUUCGCCGCCUGGGGAGUACGGCCGCAAGGCUA